rnacentral:lncRNA from 1 species
CUGUAUUAAUAAAAAAAGGCAACAGAGCUUUUACAACCAAAAAGGUAAGGGAGCAUACGUCCGUUACCGAUAAGCGCAAAUUAAGACCCUUGCAAAAGCACAAGGAAGAAAAAAUUACAUAGGAACAUAUGCCAUUGGACCCAAAGAUGAGAAAGUAAACUCAACAAAGUGAACAAUUUAGUACACAAACUAGGGAACAGGAAAGUAGCAACAAAAUUGAUCCACGGAUGAGCAUGAUAUUGAAGAGAGGCCCAAGAAGAUGCCCAAAUAAGUGUAAGUAAGAAAGUGAUAGGCUGAGAGCUGCGCCAAGGAUCCGAUGCUUGCUGAGGUCGGAGUAUUGAAUCAGCCAAACAGCAAUCCAGUACAGGCAUGACGAUGCGACUGAUGAAGCAGGAUGGACAUGAGAAUGCGACAAAUCAGAAGUCCUGAAGCAGAACGCCGUGCGGCAUAGGGGUACUGAAACAGAAUGAUAGAUGGUGUUGCCAGGGCAACAUGAGAGAAGGUGUUGUAACCAGCACCUGAACCAUGCACGUAUUCCUGGAUGCUGAGACCUGAUACAUGAUGAGUGAAGAGUAAUGGAGCAACGCAGGACAAAUACAAGAUUAUAGGCAUUAAAGUAUGCGUAGAAAAGCAGCAGCCGGCAUCCAGCUUAAAAGUUGGUGAAAACAUAAUAGAAGGACCCGCAUGGCACAGUGAGGCUGAGAACUAGGAACCGUCUGAUCGGUCAGUCUGAGAGAGCAUGCAGAAGAAUGUAUCCAAGAGGUAGGCCUGUAGGAGUGAAAAAGAAAAACAAGGAAUAGGACAGAAAGUGCGAUAACAUGCAGUACUUGACGAACCAGCCUGCAAAAGAUAUUGCAAUUCAAACGAGAGUGGGUGCAAGGGAUCAAAAGGAACUUCAUGGUCCUAAGCACACCCAGCACUCCAAUCAGCAACCAUGGUAAGCUUCACGGAACACAUGACCAGCUGAGAAAACAAUAAGAGCUUGAGACGAAUGCUAAAUAUCACAUGAAAGAGUAGAUGCCGUGUACAC